UUCCUGGUGGUCCAGUGGUUGGGACUCAGUGCUUCCAUCAUGGGGGUCCUAGGUUCAAUCCCUAGUCAGGUAA
rnacentral:tRNA from 1 species